AAAAAUAGAGUGAUUAUAAUAUAGGGAAAAUGGGGACAAAUCAACUUUACCCCUCACCUCAAUCUGCCGAACAAUCUUUUCUCAUUAAUUGGGAGAAGAUUUUUAUUCAAAAAUGGUAAAAUCACCAUAUUAGCCAUCCAUCUUCCCUCCACUUCACACAAGCUUCCCAACAUCCUUAAUUUCUUAUAAAAAGGUCAAAAACUCACCCAUAUUAAUUCCAACAAAUCCCGAUCCCUCUCCUCUACCAGAGGAAAUGGUUUUCGAUGUGUUGACUCUAUCCAUAAUCCAAC
rnacentral:lncRNA from 1 species